rnacentral:piRNA from 1 species
UGUAAAGUCUCUCAUCGGG